rnacentral:rRNA from 1 species
AGUGAACGCUGGCGGCAGGCCUAACACAUGCAAGUCGAACGGCAGCACAGCAGUAGCAAUACUGUGGGUGGCGAGUGGCGGACGGGUGAGGAAUACAUCGGAAUCUGCCCAGUCGUGGGGGAUAACAUAGGGAAACUUAUGCUAAUACCGCAUACGACCUGAGGGUGAAAGCGGGGGAUCGCAAGACCUCGCGCGAUUGGAUGAGCCGAUGUCCGAUUAGCUAGUUGGCGGGGUAAUGGCCCACCAAGGCGACGAUCGGUAGCUGGUCUGAGAGGAUGAUCAGCCACACUGGAACUGAGACACGGUCCAGACUCCUACGGGAGGCAGCAGUGGGGAAUAUUGGACAAUGGGCGCAAGCCUGAUCCAGCCAUGCCGCGUGGGUGAGAA